AGAGUUUGAUCCUGGCUCAGAUUGAACGCUGGCGGCGUGCUUAACACAUGCAAGUCGAACGGCAGCGCGGGGAGCUUGCUCCCUGGCGGCGAGUGGCGGACGGGUGAGUAAUACGUGGGAAUCUGCCUGAUAGUGGGGAACAACCCGAGGAAACUCGGGCUAAUACCGCAUACGCCUUACGAGGGAAAGCGGGGGACCUUCGGGCCUCGCGCUAUCAGAUGAGCCCGCGUCCGAUUAGCUUGUUGGUGAGGUAAUGGCUCACCAAGGCGACGAUCAGUAGCUGGUCUGAGAGGAUGAUCAGCCACACUGGGACUGAGACACGGCCCAGACUCCUACGGGAGGCAGCAGUGGGGAAUUUUCCGCAAUGGGCGAAAGCCUGACGGAGCAACGCCGCGUGAGGGAUGAAGGCCUCUGGGCUGUAAACCUCUUUUAUCAAGGAAGAAGAUCUGACGGUACUUGAUGAAUAAGCCACGGCUAAUUCCGUGCCAGCAGCCGCGGUAAUACGGGAGUGGCAAGCGUUAUCCGGAAUUAUUGGGCGUAAAGCGUCCGCAGGCGGCCUGACAAGUCUGCUGUUAAAGCGUGGAGCUUAACUCCAUUUCAGCAGUGGAAACUGUCAGGCUUGAGUGUGGUAGGGGCAGAGGGAAUUCCCGGUGUAGCGGUGAAAUGCGUAGAUAUCGGGAAGAACACCAGUGGCGAAAGCGCUCUGCUGGGCCAUCACUGACGCUCAUGGACGAAAGCCAGGGGAGCGAAAGGGAUUAGAUACCCCUGUAGUCCUGGCCGUAAACGAUGAGAACUAGCCGUUGGGGGAAUCGACCCCCUCGGUGUCGUAGCCAACGCGUUAAGUGUCCCGCCUGGGGAGUACGCACGCAAGUGUGAAACUCAAAGGAAUUGACGGGGGCCCGCACAAGCGGUGGAGUAUGUGGUUUAAUUCGAUGCAACGCGAAGAACCUUACCAGGGCUUGACAUCCUGCGAACCUCUGUGAAAGCGGAGGGUGCCUUCGGGAACGCAGUGACAGGUGGUGCAUGGCUGUCGUCAGCUCGUGUCGUGAGAUGUUGGGUUAAGUCCCGCAACGAGCGCAACCCACGUCUUUAGUUGCCAGCAUUUAGUUGGGCACUCUAGAGAGACCGCCGGUGACAAACCGGAGGAAGGUGUGGAUGACGUCAAGUCAUCAUGCCCCUUACGUCCUGGGCUACACACGUACUACAAUGCUACGGACAAAGAGCAGCAAGUUCGCGAGGACAAGCAAAUCUCAUAAACCGUGGCUCAGUUCAGAUCGUAGGCUGCAACUCGCCUACGUGAAGGAGGAAUCGCUAGUAAUCGCAGGUCAGCAUACUGCGGUGAAUACGUUCCCGGGCCUUGCACUCACCGCCCGUC
rnacentral:rRNA from 1 species